rnacentral:rRNA from 1 species
GUAUAGAACCUACCUUUUACUGGAGAAUAGCCCAGAGAAAUUUGGAUUAAUGCUCCAUAGUAUCAUUUUUUGGCAUCCUUAGAUGAUUAAAGAUUUAUCGGUAAAAGAUGGCUAUGCGUUCUAUUAGCUAGUUGGUAUGGUAACGGCAUACCAAGGCGACGAUAGAUAGGGGUCCUGAGAGGGAGAUCCCCCACACUGGUACUGAGACACGGACCAGACUCCUACGGGAGGCAGCAGUGAGGAAUAUUGGACAAUGGAGGCAACUCUGAUCCAGCCAUGCCGCGUGUAGGAAGACUGCCCUAUGGGUUGUAAACUACUUUUAUAGAGGAAGAAACCGCUCUACGUGUAGAGCUCUGACGGUACUCUACGAAUAAGGAUCGGCUAACUCCGUGCCAGCAGCCGCGGUAAUACGGAGGAUCCAAGCGUUAUCCGGAAUCAUUGGGUUUAAAGGGUCCGUAGCGGGUUUGUAAGUCAGUGGUGAAAGUUUUCGGCUCAACCGGAAAAUUGCCAUUGGUACUGCAAGUCUUGAAUCGUUGUGAAGUGGUUAGAAUGUGUAGUGUAGCGGUGAAAUGCAUAGAUAUUACACAGAAUACCGAUUGCGAAGCAGAUCACUAACAAUGUAUUGACGCUAAGGGACGAAAGCGUGGGUAGCGAACAGGAUUAGAUACCCUGGUAGUCCACGCCGUAAACGAUGGUUACUAGCUGUUCGGAUUUCGGUCUGAGUGGCUAAGCGAAAGUGAUAAGUAACCCACCUGGGGAGUACGUUCGCAAGAAUGAAACUCAAAGGAAUUGACGGGGGCCC